ensembl:lncRNA
UGAUGUUUUGCUUGAGAGCAAAACAGACAAGAAAAAGAUAACAGAUCUGACUCAACACAUCAAGGCUUUGGAGAAACAACUGGAGGAAACAAGAGCGCAGCUUGAAGAAAAAGGACAAGUUAUUAUCAAUAAAGACUUUAUGAUUGACCAGCAAAAAGCCUCUCUGGACGAGCUGACUCACAUUGGACAGGGCCUGAAAGGAAAGAUCAAGGACCUGGAGAACCAGUUGGAAGUAGCUCUGAUCACUGGGGGCGGAGGUUUCCUGGAGAAGGAUGGCACUUUCUCUGUUGCCACUGAGAAUCACCUUUCUUUGGCCGAAGAGCUUGGACAACUAUCUGGUUUUCAGAGUUCUGCGAGUCCUGCUUUUUACCAGGUGGAAUUUGAUGACGACGUGGAGGUAGAUGAAAGUCUGGAGUUUGAGGUCGAUGUCAUGGUGGGAUCAAAGGCCUUAGCAGAAGAGCUUAAAGAUGCCCCGCAAGACGUCAACCAUAAGGUGAAGAAAGAGGAAAUCAUCUGUGAGAACGUGGAGAUGACAUUCUGUCCUGAGAUAGAGGAAGCCGUAAAAAAUGAGGAGGUGGAUGAGGUCAUCAAGCAUGUGGAGAAGAAAGAGGAAGGUAGCAAUGAGACCGUGGAGAUGGACAUCCGUUGUGAGGAGAUCAUCAACCAUGAGACGAGAGAGGCUCAGAAGCCUGAGGUGAUGGCGCAAUUCCUCAGGAAAGGAGAC